AGAACGAACGCUGGCGGCGUGCUUAACACAUGCAAGUCCAACGUGAAAGGGGAGCAAUCCCCCGGUAGGGUGGCGAACGGGUGAGUAAGGCAUCGGAAUCUGCCCUGAUGUGGGGGAUAACGUAGGGAAACUUACGCUAAUACCGCAUACGACCGAGAGGUGAAAGCGGGGGACCGAAAGGCCUCGCGCAGCAGGAUGAGCCGAUGUCCGAUUAGCUAGUUGGUGGGGUAACGGCCUACCAAGGCGACGAUCGGUAGCUGGUCUGAGAGGACGACCAGCCACACUGGGACUGAGACACGGCCCAGACUCCUACGGGAGGCAGC
rnacentral:rRNA from 1 species